GGGGCCCGCACAAGCGGUGGAGCAUGUGGUUUAAUUCGAUGCAACGCGAAGAACCUUACCUGGUCUUGACAUCCACAGAACUUUCCAGAGAUGGAUUGGUGCCUUCGGGAACUGUGAGACAGGUGCUGCAUGGCUGUCGUCAGCUCGUGUUGUGAAAUGUUGGGUUAAGUCCCGCAACGAGCGCAACCCUUAUCCUUUGUUGCCAGCGGUCCGGCCGGGAACUCAAAGGAGACUGCCAGUGAUAAACUGGAGGAAGGUGGGGAUGACGUCAAGUCAUCAUGGCCCUUACGACCAGGGCUACACACGUGCUACAAUGGCGCAUACAAAGAGAAGCGACCUCGCGAGAGCAAGCGGACCUCAUAAAGUGCGUCGUAGUCCGGAUUGGAGUCUGCAACUCGACUCCAUGAAGUCGGAAUCGCUAGUAAUCGUGGAUCAGAAUGCCACGGUGAAUACGUUCCCGGGCCUUGUACACACCGCCCGUCACACCAUGGGAGUGGGUUGCAAAAGAAGUAGGUAGCUUAACCUUCGGGAGGGCGCUUACCACUUUGUGAUUCAUGACUGGGGUGAAGUCGUAACAAGGUAACCGUAGGGGAACCUGCGGUUGGA
rnacentral:rRNA from 1 species